CCCUACAACGCUGCGCAUAUGC
rnacentral:miRNA from 1 species